CAGCUUGAACCUGUCUACCGAAGAACAUACCCUUCAUUCAGGUCCUUGGAAGUGGUGUCAUUCAGAAGUGGAUCAGUCAUCACCAACAUGGACCUUAGCUUUGCAAGCACGUCUGCCCCUAAUAACACUCAGAUUGCAAGCACUUUGGUCAACGCAGCUUCAAGUGUCAGUGGCUUCGACAUUGAAAGCAGCUCUAUCUCCGUGAAUGGCAUCUCUUCGGGUGGAGUAAGCCACAAAAUCAGUCUCGUCACUGCAUCCUGCCUGGUACUGUUGUCAUGGCUACUCUAAAGCAAGCAAUAGCAUCCGUGCUGAAUUUCCAU